rnacentral:rRNA from 1 species
UACGACUACAUAUCAGGCAUAUCAAUAAGCGGAGGAAAAGAAACUAACAAGGAUUCCCCUAGUAACGGCGAGUGAAGCGGGAAGAGCUCAAAUUUGAAAUCUUCAAGGUUUUACCUUGACGAAUUGUAGUUUAAAGAAGUGUUUUCUGUUGAAGUUUCGGUAAAAGUUCUUUGGAAUAGGACAUCAUAGAGGGUGAGAAUCCCGUAUUUGACCGUUACUUUCCAGCUGUGUGAUACACUUUCAAAGAGUCGGAUUGUUUGGGAAUGCAGUCCAAAAUGGGUGGUAAAUUUCAUCUAAAGCUAAAUAUUGGCGAGAGACCGAUAGCGAACAAGUACCGUGAGGGAAAGAUGAAAAGAACUUUGAAAAGAGAGUUAAACAGUACGUGAAAUUGUCAAAAGGGAAGCGUUUGACACCAGUGUUGUUUUCUCGAAAAUCAAUUAAAAAUGACCUGGAUUUUGUGUUGUAUUGACCUUAUAAGCUUUCUGCACUUUUUUCCUAUCUUUUUUAAUGCACUUUUCGUUUAACAAGUCAACAUCAAUUUCCUUUGUUGUAAAAGGGUCAUUGGAAGGUGGCUUUCACUUCGGUGUAAGUGUUUAUAGCCUUUUACUUCUGCAAUCGGAGAGAUUGAGGUCAUGCAGCGUAGAUCCUUCGGGGUUAGAUACAUUUGUGCUAAGUUAUAGUUUUCCAUAGACAACAUGUUGACUAUGAUUAAUCAUGUAGCUUACUCGCUUAUGCUAUUUUACCUACGCUUAGGAUGUUGACGCGCGUGUGUGCGUG